GACGAACCGUGCGAACGUUGUUCGGAAUCACUGGGCUUAAAGGGCGCGUAGGCGGGCUGACAAGUCUGGGGGGAAAUGCCGCGGCUCAACCGUGGAACUGCCUUAGAUACUGUCGGCCUCGAGGAAGGUAGGGGCAUGCGGAACUGUAGGUGGAGCGGUGAAAUGCGUAGAUAUCGAGAGGAAUACCAGAGGCGAAGGCGACGGACUGGACAGCAACUGACACUCAACUGCGAAAGCGUGGGGAGCAAACAGG
rnacentral:rRNA from 1 species